rnacentral:lncRNA from 10 species
GGGAUGGCCUGGAUAUAUCACUUUAAAAAUCCUGCUUUUAAUGAACAAAUGAGAAAAGACCAAGAAAUUGAGCUACAGUGAGGUCACACAGCCGAGAAUCACACAGUGAAGAGUUGGGAUUUGAGCCUGGAAUACUCUGACCUCAGAGUCUGGAUGCUAGUCUCUUGCUGCCUCCCCUGUGUUAUGAGGUCAUGUCUAAAUCACCUCCGUUACUGAAAAUGCUUGUGAAAGACCUAUUCUGCUGGAUAGAGCAGUCACCUUAGUCAAAUAUGAUCCAAAUGUUGCCAUUAGGUCCUACCCAACCCCAUCAAAGAUCAGAACCUGGAGGUGUGGUAACUCCCUCCAGUCCAGAAAAAAAAAAAAAAAAACAAACCCAGUAGGUCAGAGUAAGGAGCUGCUCUGAGCCAUCAGUGGGAGGGUUAAGUUAAAGAAUAGAAAGAUGUAACCUGACCCAAAACUUAGCUCUCAUUUUCAACAGGCAAGAGCUCCUUGCAGGGUGACCUUGACUCAGACCCACAAUUUCAUCUUUUUUUUUUGUUUUCUUUUUGGAAUGGCAAUAACAAUGUCUGCCCAGCAUCCACCACUUUAAGUUGGUGUUUACAAUAGAACUGACACAGCCCUUUAAGCAGGCUCUUGCGUGCAGAGUUAACUCUCCCCUUGCACACAGAGCAGAUCGUCAGGCUCCCUCCAGCCCCAGGACCUUUCUCUAACCAUAAAAAGGCAAUUGUACCUCUAAACCCCAAAUCCUUACCUAUCCCUGCUGCACCCAGCUGUGCAAGGUGAGUCCUAGGAGGUCACAUCCCACAUGAUUCCACGUUUUCUCAUCAGUAUCCUUUGCUAGUUCCAGAUAUUGCAACAUCACUACUGUUCAAGAUUAGAACUUAAGAACUUGAAAAGGUCAAGAAAGAUGUGGUGCCUUGUCUCCACAUCAAGUAAACAGUCCGUGGCAUUGGCCUCUGACAAAUGACAACAGACUCACGGGGCAGCAGUUGAGGAGCUGUGCUUACAUGAUACUUACCAUCCUGAGAAGCAUGGAUGUAUGGGGAUACCCAUACCCUGGUAACCCAACCCCAUGGGCUCAGACAGUGUUGAACACUAGAGAAUCUUCAUCAUUUGCUCAGCUGUCACCACUUCCACAGAUGCAAGAAAUGGCCGAUGGUUCUAGAGGAUGACCCCAGCCUCUCAAAUAGAAAAGGGAGUGUGUUAGAUGUCAUCCAGCCAGUCGUAUAGAAAGGUGGACUUUAAGAAACUGUGGUUAAUGUUGGAAGGAAACAUAAGGCAGCUUUUAAAGCUAUUUUCAUAGUCUUCAAAGAGAAAUAAAUGACCAGCGCCGACGGCUGCAGACAGCAGGACAGGCAGCCUGACGGAGCUCUGUAUUCACUUUAUUCUAAUCUGUUGGGGGCAGGGGAAUUCAUGGGUCCACACUCUAUGAAUCCAUGGGUCCACAGACUAAUUACAUCAUACAUUGUCUGAUUAAUCCUCCCGAUAAUUGAUCCUGCUCUGGCAUGAGAUAGCUGUGUGACCUUGAACCAAUCAUUAACCUUUGGGCCUGUCCUCUUCUAAUGCCAGGGUAAGAAUUAUCAACAUAUAUGUUGAAAUCCCCAAGGAUUAUGCCAAGGAAUGGAACAGAGAGGAAGACAGUGAGACAUGUUGAGGGGGUAGAGGACUUGGAUAGAGAAGAGUGAGGCAGAGAAGCAGCGUAAAUAAGUGGGAGAAUAUCUAGGGAGAAAAGGAAAGACAAAUUCAAUAAGCAGUUUCAAAGCAUGAGCCUCAAAAUAAAUGUCUUUCUUCCUUGCAAUAUUACUGUUUUGUACUGGCUUAAGAAGCUAGACUAUCUCCUGUCUGCAGAAAACAGACAGGAUAACAGGAAACAGUUUUGGAUUCCACAGUGAUUAUAGCUACUUAAGUUUGACUUACCAAAUACUGUCUCAAACAGAUGGUAUGUAACAUUUGAUUAAGGGCUUAUCCUGCAAGCCCGACAGGGAACAUUUCUUUCCCUCUUAAUAUAGAAAAAAUGUAGAGAAGAAGGGAAAUAAACUGACGAUCUUGCCCAUGUUCCAUGUAUACCAACGUUUAUGCCUUUUCUAAAAUGAAUCUGUGCUUAUUAUGCAACUCAAGACCAAACUGCAUACUGGUGACACCAUAGAAUUUCAGUAAAAAAGGAUAUUGAAGAUCAUCCUAUAUAAGCCCCUUAUUUUAUAGGUAAGGAAACAGAGACACAGAAAGAUAAGUUU